AGAGUUUGAUCCUGGCUCAGGAUGAACGCUAGCGGCAGGCUUAAUACAUGCAAGUCGAGGGGCAGCAGGUUUGUAGCAAUACAGAUGCUGGCGACCGGCAAACGGGUGAGGAACACGUACGCAACUUUCCUUCAAGUGGGGGAUAGCCCAGGGAAACUUGGAUUAAUACCCCAUAAUAUUACGAAGCGGCAUCGUUUUGUAAUUAAAGCUCCGGCGCUUGAAGAUGGGCGUGCGCCUGAUUAGGUAGUUGGCGGGGUAACGGCCCACCAAGCCUACGAUCAGUAACUGGUGUGAGAGCACGACCAGUCACACGGGCACUGAGACACGGGCCCGACUCCUACGGGAGGCAGCAGUAAGGAAUAUUGGGCAAUGGACGAAAGUCUGACCCAGCCAUGCCGCGUGGAGGAUGAAGGUCCUCUGGAUUGUAAACUUCUUUUAUCUGGGAAGAAAUCUACGGUUUCCACUGU
rnacentral:rRNA from 1 species